CGGGUACAACGAGUCGCAAGACCGCGAGGUUUAGCAAAUCUCUUAAAGCCGCUCUCAGUUCGGAUUGUAGGCUGCAACUCGCCUACAUGAAGUCGGAAUCGCUAGUAAUCGCGGAUCAGCAUGCCGCGGUGAAUACGUUCCCGGGCCUUGUACACACCGCCCGUCACACCAUGAGAGUUUGUAACACCCAAAGCCGGUGGGGUAACCUUUUGGAGCCAGCCGUCUAAGGUGGGACAGAUGAUUAGGGUGAAGUCGUAACAAGGUACC
rnacentral:rRNA from 1 species